rnacentral:rRNA from 1 species
UACGUAGGGGGCAAGCGUUGUCCGGAUUUAUUGGGCGUAAAGAGCGUGUAGGCGGCCGUACAGGUCAGCUGUGAAAACUCGAGGCUCAACCUCGAGACGUCGGUUGAAACCGUACGGCUAGAGUCCGGAAGAGGAGAGUGGAAUUCCCAGUGUAGCGGUGAAAUGCGUAGAUAUUGGGAGGAACACCAGUGGCGAAGGCGGCUCACUGGACCGGAACUGACGCUGAGGCGCGAAAGCGUGGGGAGCAAACGGG